AAAUGGUGUUAUAUUCAGAUUAUACUUGAUUGUCAUUGCCAUUUAUGGUGGCAUCCAAUUUUUCAUUAGUUUCAUGAUGUGAAUUCCUGCCUGUCACCGACUGACUAAUCAAUGUGAUCGCUAGCCUUUAAUUUGUUUCGUCAAAUGGAUGCGCCAGGAACGCUAUUAUGUUGGGCGUGGAAUGUAUGAAAGGACCACUGAUUUUAUCAAAUCAAGCCAUUGGUAAAACCAACUCGGACAGUAGUAAAUAUGGAUACCAUACAAUAUUCUUGGCAUGAUUUUGUAUCUC